rnacentral:rRNA from 1 species
AUUGAACGCUGGCGGCAGGCCUAACACAUGCAAGUCGAGCGGAUGAAGGGAGCUUGCUCCUGGAUUCAGCGGCGGACGGGUGAGUAAUGCCUAGGAAUCUGCCUGGUAGUGGGGGAUAACGUCCGGAAACGGGCGCUAUAACCGCUUACGUCCUGAGGGGGAAAGUGGGGGAUCUUCGGCCCUCACGCUACAAGAUGAGCCUAGGUCGGAUUAGCAAGUUGGUGGGGUAAAGGCUUACCAAGGCGACGAUCCGUAACUGGUCUGAGAGGAUGAUCAGUCACACUGGAACUGAGACACGGUCCAGACUCCUACGGGAGGCAGCAGUGGGGAAUAUUGGACAAUGGGCGAAAGCCUGAUCCAGCCAUGCCGCGUGUGUGAAGAAGGUCUUCGGAUUGUAAAGCACUUUAAGUUGGGAGGAAGGGCAGUAAGUUAAUACCUUGCUGUUUUGACGUUACCAACAGAAUAAGCACCGGCUAACUUCGUG